CAUAUUCUCUCAAGGAAAUUUCACAGACAUCUACUAUUAAAAGCAUAUAAAUCGUGGUGAAUCUAAAAGAUCUCAUCUAUCGAAUUGGCUAAAUUCAAUGUUCACGACAUUUCAAUGCUGUAUGAUCACUAGUAUACCCAACCGCCCUAGCCACAUCAUUUGUGGAAACCCACUUAAUUACAAAUCAAUCUCAUUAAUUUUACAUCGCCAUAACUUGGAAAGCUUCCUUUCAAUUAUGGAAAACCUCUAUUCAUAUUGGUGUAGAAAUGUUAACCGCUGACAUGCGCACAUGUGUAAAAAAAAUUGCAUAUAAUUUCCACAUCGUGUAUACACACUUUAUGCCGGGUAAAAAACAAACAAAAACACUAUCACAAUCGUGUCUUACGCAGGUGCAAAUAGGAAUUCUUGAUCCUAAGAAAUAUAAUAUAUGUCACGCACAGAAAAAAAAAGUUAGGAAGCGAAAAGGGGUCAUGCCGUUGGUCCACGCGUGCGUACAAUUUAGCACUAAACUCUAAAUAAAAGCCAUAUAAUUCAAUCAUCGACAAGCUAAAUUUAUGCAAAAGAAUCCGAUCGGAUGAGGCUACCGUUGGUUCACCUGGCGAUCGAGCAGAUAGUACAUGGGAGCCGGAGGGACACUUGGACUGACAGGGACCGGAACAUCAUUUGUUUCUUUCCAUGAAGUCGACAUGUUGGAAAGCCGGGUGAAAAUGGAGGCGGGUGAUUAGGCCUAAGCUAGUCCCGUCCACGUUGCUUGCUUGCAUGCACGAACCAAACUAACCAGGGAACCGGAAGCCGUUGUUUGCACGAAUCCUCUUGCUAAAUUAGCCCCCGUGCUUUAAAUGGACAAUGUGCUUACGCACCUUAAGAUUCAAAUUAGGCCUAGUUUGUUGUUCGAUCGUGUGAGAGGCUAAGUAAGUAAGUAUCCAGCUCAACUCAAUAAUCCAAUCAGAUGUUUAGAUUGAUACUCUACCUGAUUCAGUAGUUCAUCUCCAAAAUUCUGAAAUUCCAAUCUACAGGACAAAUCAUCCCUGCAAGUUAAAAUUAUUUUGAUCGAUAUUAACGGUGUGUUUGGUACAACCCUGCCUCCAUGGAUUUGGUAAAGCCGGUCAUUCAUCACUUCGGUUUUUUUCGAGCU
rnacentral:lncRNA from 1 species